rnacentral:rRNA from 1 species
GACGGAAGGUGCAAGCGUUGCUCGGAAUCACUGGGCGUAAAGGGUGCGUAGGCGGCCGUGCAAGUCUGGCGUGAAAGCCCCGGGCUCAGCCCGGGAAGUGCGCUCGAAACUGCGCGGCUCGAGUGCCGGAGGGGAGAGUGGAAUUCCUGGUGUAGCGGUGAAAUGCGUAGAUAUCUGGAGGAACACCGGUGGCGAAGGCGGCAUCCUGGACCAUAACUGACACUGAUAAGCGAAAGCCAGGGGAGCAAACGGG